rnacentral:misc_RNA from 1 species
GAUGAAGAACGUAGCGAAAUGCGAUAAGUAAUGUGAAUUGCAGAAUUCAGUGAAUCAUCGAAUCUUUGAACGCACAUUGCGCCCGCCAGUAUUCUGGAGGGCAUGCCUGUUCGAGCGUCAUUUCAACCCUCAAGACCCCUUCGGGGGACUUGGUGUUGGGGACCGGCACAGGGGCCUGCCUGCUUGUCUUGCAGCGCCCUCGCCGCCCCCGAAAUGAAUUGGCGGCCUCGUCGCGGCCUCCCCUGCGUAGUAGCACAAACCUCGCAACGGGAACGUGACGGCGGCCACUGCCGUAAAACAACCCAAUUUUAUUAGAGUUGACCUCGAAUCAGGUAGGAAUACCCGCUGAACUUAAGCAUAUCAAUAAGCGGAGGA